rnacentral:sRNA from 1 species
GCUGGGCACAGUGGCACAUACCUGUAAUCCCAGCAGCUCUGGAGGCUGAGACAGGAGGAUUGUAAAUUCAAAGCCAGCCUCACUGAGCAACUCAAUGAGACCCUGUCUCUA